rnacentral:rRNA from 1 species
AAUCAACGCUGGCCGCGUGCCUAACACAUGCAAGUCGAACGCGAAAGCCCCGCAAGGGGUAAGUAGAGUGGCAAACGGGUGAGUAACACGUGGGUGACCUGCCUUCGAGUGGGGGAUAACGUCCCGAAAGGGACGCUAAUACCGCAUGACAUCCUGCUUUUGAAAAAGCGGAGAUCAAAGCUGGGGGUCGCAAGACCUAGCGCUUGAAGAGGGGCCCGCGCCUGAUUAGCUAGUUGGUGAGGUAACGGCUCACCAAGGCGACGAUCAGUAUCCGGCCUGAGAGGGCGGACGGACACACUGGGACUGAGACACGGCCCAGACUCCUACGGGAGGCAGCAGUGGGGAAUUGUUCGCAAUGGGCGCAAGCCUGACGACGCAACGCCGCGUGGAGGACGAAGAUCUUCGGGUCGUAAACUCCUGUCGAGCGGGACGAACGCUUCGCGGAUGAAUAAUCCGCGGAAUUGACGGUACCGCUAAAGGAAGCCCCGGCUAACUCCGUG